UGCGGAAGAGAGAAGGGGGAGCGGCGCAAAGGCCGAGGAAGAGCAAUGGAGUGCUCUGCCGGGGCGACGAUUGAGCGAUGAGGGCGGUGGAGCAGGACUUCGGGGAUGACACCGGCGGUCAUUGGGCACCGAUGUCAGGGCGGCGCAGGCGCGGGUUUACCGAUGGUUGAGAUUUGGCGGAGGUAGGCGUCGUCGUCCGAUGGAUCUGAUGGAAGUGACCGGGGAAACGGCGCUAGAAACGAGGGCGCACAGGUGAGAAGACAGGCGGCUGCGGUCGCACGGGCGAGCGCGGAGCAACAGAUUGUCGGGGCGGAGCUUCUGACAAGGCGGAAAAGGAGCUGUUGCUGCCGCGGUCUAGGUUGGCGGAGGGGGAAUCGUCGCGUAGCGAGGACCGGGCGGCGCGACUGUGGAGAGGUGAUGAAAAAGACGGGUGGCAUCGGGCUCUGCAGCCGGGAUCUGGUGAUGUGAUGAUGGGCGGUGAGGUGUUGCAGAAAG
rnacentral:lncRNA from 1 species